UGUCUACCUUUAAAGGUGUCUAUAUGUCUAUAUAGGCCUAAAGGUGUCUAUAUAUGCCUAAAUUUCAUGGGGAAAUCCUGAUUUGUGUUCAUAGUACGGCCCCCGGAGGAUUUUAUGACCAUGGUAGGAAUUUGAAGUGGCCCUUCGAAUGAAAAAGGUUCCCCACCCCUGCAUUAAACCUUUCUUCUAGCCACAGCUCUGCUGUCAGUACAUUUUAUUAUGAUACUAUAAGCUCAGAAAUGAAGUUGAUCGAACAAUUCGAUCGGUGCUAUAAACAUUUAAAUGAACCGAAUAGAAAUCAGAAUAGAAACAUCUGAAUGAUCUUUCUUGGACAUAGCCUACAUUUUGAAGUGACCCUUUGAAUUAAAAAGGUUCCUCACCCCUGCUUUUGAGGAAAAACAUCAAUGUGCUUGGCCACUCUGGUUUUUAAAUUAUUCUGAACUAAAGCAAGGAUUGUUCAAGGAAGUUCAAAACAGACUGUCUCUGGUUAAAUUAGUUCUACACCAAGCCUUUAGGUGGCAGUACAACUAAUUCGCACAAUGCGAAUUCCACACACAAGCCACAAAGAAGCCAUCUACCGCGGUCAACAACACCGACCUAUCUGAACAGAACCACGCGCUGUCUGUGUGGUUUCACUGUUACAAGUUUCUUGGCGACAUGGGGGAAAGUUCCUCACAUACCAACGGAAAAUGGGCUUCACAUACAUGCUGCUGUCUCAUAAUAUGGCGAAGACGAGUCACUUGAAGGCCUAACAGCUCUUAUGAGGAGCAGUCUUGCCAUAGAAGACUGAAAGAAUGAGCUGUAGAAACAACAGGGUGCCUGCUGCAGUAUGACGAGGACGCCCUGAUCAUAGAAGGUCCAGUGUCUUGGCAGGGUGAAAUGGCACUGAUAUCGUGUCCUGCAGGAUGCUGUGUCCUGCAAUCCUGUGUGCUGUGCUACAGACGCGUGUGGAGGUCAACCCGAAAUGGGCACAGUAGCGUGAAAGAGGAUCCUGGCAGGGAGACGGUAGUGUCCUGCAGGAUGGUGAUGGGCAAUCUUAC